UUAUCAGCACUAAUAUAGCGAAGGUAUGGGGGAGAGAUAUUGUACUCAGCCUUACCCUUGCAUAUGCAAAGAGGCUGUUUCCGGAUUCGAACCCAUGACCAACAAGUCACCAAGGCACAACUUUACCGUUGCACCAUGGCUCGCCCUCAUUAAAGGAUAAUUAAAUAACUCACAAAAAAUUGUACACUAAAGGAUUAAGUCAGUAAUCAGUUAUGAGUAGUUAUAUUCCGUUACAAAUUUAGUUAAUUAGGUAGUUAGGAGUGUAGUUGUCAGUUAGAAGUAGUUAUAAAUAACUACUCUCUAUUUGCAUUACUAUGAGUAACUCUCUUCAAUUUUAGUAGUUCAUUAAUCAAUCUCUUCACUCUCUUCAAUUCUUCUUCUGCUACAAUGGAUCCAAUCUCGAUCAAACUGGAUGAUGACAAUUACCCAGCAUAGAAGGCUGAAGCCUUAGGAAAAAUCAAAGAAAGCAACCUUGAGAAGUUCAUCACAAUGACAGAUUCUGGAGGAAGGCUACCAAAGUCCAAUAAAGAAUACAAAUUCUGGAAGGAGCAGGAUCAGGUUCUUUAUAGGUGGCUUCUUGCAUCCUUGUCUACAAAGAUUCUUCACAGACUCGAAAUAUGUGAAUAUGCUUUGGAAUUGUGGAAGGCUAUAGAGGCUUAUUUCUUAGAUCUAGAAAAAAUUGAAGAGCUACGUCAACAAUAUAAAUCAGCAGCAGAUAUACUGAAAAAUGAAUGAUCACAAUCUGUUGCUUUAGUUAUUCUUUUUUGUUAAAGCAGAACUUGUUGAUGUGAAUUGGCUCUUUUCUUUUUCUUUUUCUUGAGUUCUGAUCCUGCUUAUAGUUUCAUCGGCUUAGGUUAAGGGAGGAAAUGCAAGUUACGAACCAUAGGGAUUCUUUUUUCUUUUAUGCAGAAACAUAAGGAUUGUUAUAAUAAAGGACAUACGACUGAAAAUUACUGUUAA